GUUCGGCCAUCUUGAGAGUCUCGCGUCGGUGGUGAUUCCGAUCGGACGUAUCGGCUGAUUUACGAGAUUUAUCUGUUCUGUGCUUUGUGUUCUGUGUUCUAAGCUGUUAUUAAAGUUCUUUUCGUUCUUUUAAAAGAGUGUUUAUUAUUUACUUUGCGGUACGCGAGUGCUGGUUGUCUCACGCGUAUUCGAGUAAUAUCGAAGUCGACACGCGGGCGCAACAAUAUAUAUGCACACAUGUAUUAUGCAUAUAUAAAAUUCUCAACAAAUGGGCGCCUGUUAGCCUUGUUGCGUUACUGUUUUCUGCCACGAGAGGCCAGAAAGCAUUUUCAGGACGUAUCUCGGCUGUAAAGUGAUACAUUGAGAACAAGGACAAGGAUAGCACACGAUUGUCGCUCCUUGUCUGAUAUUAUCUCCCAACAAUCGCAUCCAUGUGCUUAACAUAUUGGUGUAUGCCUUCACGGACGCUACACACAUCGGUGCAAGAGAGACAAAGACGACGCAAUCAUCUUUCCUUGUCACGUGGCUAUAUGGCGUAUCGCUUUCAGGGAUCAUCUAAAACCAGGCCGUGGCGUCUCUCAGACUUCUCUCUGGUUUCCAUUUCAUUCAUUCCCAAUAAAAUAAUAAGAAGCGACAGAAGUGAUUGGAAGCGUUACACUUAUAUAAUUAUAAUCCACCGAGAUGGGGUGCUAUGUGUCCUGCCCAUAUUAAAAGUUUGUUGAAUAUGUACAAAUUUGUAUACACUGAUAACAAUUUCCUUAAGUUUAUUUCUACGUAUAAACUGAAUCAGGACCACCUUGAAUUAAUUUUUACUAAUUUAAGAUCUCAUCAUGGAUAAUAAUAAUCCUACAGUUCAACAAUGUAAAUCUGCGUAUAAAAAAUUAUUAUACAUACGGAAUUACAGGAGAAAAAUAGUGGCAGUUGUAUACCAUUAGAAGAUAUUACAAUAUUGUAUGUGUCAUCUGAACAGCCGAUUAAUAUCAUAAAUGCAACGACAAACACAGCUUCACAAACACAAUGGCUUGAUGUUUUUCAUAAUGAACAUAAUAAUGACCAUGAGUAGUAUACAAAAGCAUAUGUUCUGGGUCACAUUUUUUCCUCUAU